rnacentral:rRNA from 1 species
CUAAGUGUCGGGGCAGCAGCCGGGGUAAAAAGGGGGGGGCAAGCGUUAGUUGGAAUUACUGGGCGUAAAGCGUGCGAAGGGGGCUUAUUAAGUCAGAGUUGAAAUCCCUAGGCUCAAACUAGGAACUGCAGUUGAAACUAAUAAACUAGAAUAUCGGAGAGGGAGGUAGAAUUCCAGGUGUAGCGGUGAAAUGCGUAGAUAUCUGGAGGAAUACCAGUGGCGAAGGCGACCUACUGGACGAAAACUGACGCUCAAGUACGAAAGCAUGGGGAGCAAACAGGAUUAGAUACCCCGGUAGUC